rnacentral:rRNA from 1 species
UGAAACUGGGAUUCUUGAGGGCAGGAGAGGAAAGUGGAAUUCCUGGUGUAGCGGUGAAAUGCGUAGAAAUCAGGAGGAACACCGGUGGCGAAGGCGACUUCCUGGACUGCCCCUGACGCUG